UAAACUGCACACAUGAGCGCUAUAAGACGCCAAGGAAGUCACGUGAGUCGCGAGCACUGCAGCUGUGGGCAGAAAAGUUUUGAGAGGGUGGCAACUGGCAAGAAUGGCGCGUGUCUGUUUUACAGUAGAUCAAACACGCAUACGAGCAGUCCAGAGCAAAUCCUGAUAAAUCCAUGUAGUCUAUGACAAGAUAUAAUUUAGAAUACCUUAUAAAGUCUAACAGUGGAGUAUUUUUCAGAGGGAACGUGUAAGUAGCCCUUACAUGGUGGAUCACUUGGUGGUUACUGGAUAGAAAACAUUCCCUCGCGCAAAAGUCCACCUGCGUAAUCUUGAUUAAUGGAUUAAUGCUUUCAGCGCAAAAACCAAUACUCGCUGCUUUUUGGGUGGUUCGAGGGGGUGACCACCACCACCUCUUGAAUGACCCGCUGUGAAGGAAUGGGUGAUGCCGGACAGAGGAUGUAACAUCUGGAGUCUGGUGGUACUGUCGGUGCUGGAGAUGGGGCUCGGUGCGUCCAGUAUCGCCCUCGGGGUGUUCGGCAUCAUCCGAGUCCGGUCGGUUCACAAGCUGCAGCUGGGGGAUGCCUCUUCUAUAUUGAGCGGAAUUUGUUUUCUCAUCUGUGGACUAUGUGGGAUGGUGUGUGCAAAGAAGAGGUCAGGAUUGAUUAUGAUCCUAUUUUCAGCCUGCUGUAUCUGUGGGUUGAUCAGUGGGAUCCUAAACUUCCAGUUUGUGCGUGUGGUGGCAAAGCGUCCCGAUGCCCUGCCGUCCCUCUACCUGGCCAUCAUGGUGCUGGCCUGCCUGGGCAUCGGAGUGUCCAUCCUGUUUACCUGGCUCACCUGUCGUCUGGCCAGCAGUGAACAGCAGAGGAUGUACCUGGAGAGAGAGCUGUCCCUGCACCAUUCCCAUGAGAUGAGUGAAAAGCAGUGGUUGCCAACUCCGAUCCUCCAGUACCCUCAACUCCGGUCCUCCAGUACCCUCAACCCCGGUCCUCCAGUACCCUCAACUCCGGUCCUCCAGUACUCUCAACUCCGGCCCUCCAGUACCCUCAACUCCGGUCCUCCAGUACCCUCAACUCUACACAUUAUUAUUGUAGCCCAGACAAGAACAUCUGAUUCAACUUGUCAACUAAUCAUCAGGCCCUCAAUGAGUUGAAUCGGGCAUGUUUGUCCGGGGCUACAAGAAACAUGUGUCCUGACGGGGGUACUGGAGGACUGGAGUUGGGAACCACUGUUCUGAAGAGGGAUAUGAAUGCACCACAGGAGGAGUUGGCUGAGAGAUCUGAGAGAGCAGCCAGCAUUCCCCAGAUCUCCUUCAAUGGAAAGUCCUCACCUCCAUUGUCAUUAGGCUGAAGUCCAGCUGUGUUACUGUAUUCAAAGCAUCAUGGAGACAAUGUUGGUUCCAUUCAACACCAACGGUUACAGGGGACGUGAUCUCUUGCAAUGAACUAAUACACAAAGGAAUCAACUGAAGUUACGGCAUCACUAUGAGACGGCGCUGUGAGAUUUGACAAUCGGCUUACUAGUGACGAUGUAGGCUGAAUGAUGCACCUGGAUAGUCCCCAGACAUGGAUUUGGGGGACAUGGAAACAGCACGUAGAGGGGACAAAGCUAUGGCACAUUCAAAGGCUCAAAAAGAACAACUAAACCACUUGAGAUUGUCAGUGUUGAGAUGGUGAAAGACAUAACUGCUUCAGGGUUUGACUGGUCAUAGAGAUCAUGUCAUACAGUGGAAGUUGUUUCCAGUACUAUUAUUUAUUUGAAUGAUUAUUUAUGUAUUUAUUAUUUAAAUAUAUGUUUGUUUAUUCAUAAGCAUGAAAAUAUAAUAAAAUCCCAUCUGUGAUAGGUUUUUA